UCUUGUUCCUAGCUUAAGUUUUAAAAUGAAUUUGAUGAAAAGUAAUUAAAACUUAUUUGAUAUUGCAUAAUAUACUAAUAAUCUGAUAUUAUAUAAUAUUAAUUAAUUAAAAACUAAUUUUAUGGGGUGGGGUUUAAUCAGCAUUUCUACUUGUCCAUAUGAAUUAAAUAUCAAACCUGUCUUGCAUUAAAUCUAAAAAGAAAUCAUGGAGUAUUUUAUAUGUUUUAAAGUGUUUUAGGAUAAAAAGUGCAGAUCCAUUAAUAUUUAGGGAGUAAUGAAUAGACAAGCAUCCAGUUAAAGAUUAAUUAAUGAGUUUAAUAUAGGAAGGCUAUCUGAUCAAGUGCUGCCUAAUAUCUGUAUCCUUUGGGGAUUAGACAGAAAAAUUGCUGGUCAGUUUAUAGCAUACCGGUAUGUCAUUUGAUGGCUAGCCCUUCUUUUCAAAAUUAAUUUGGCAUAGAUUACCGUAAUUUGAUAUUGUUUAUUAUGAUGCCGGCAUUUGACAAAGUCUUACACAAACAGUAUAGAAGUCUCUCAGUUUUGUAAUAUUUGUUAUAAUUAAGCCUACAGCGCAGGGGAUGGAUAAAGAAAUAUUUUUUUAAAAAAUUAAAAAAUCAUGGAAAUCUUAGAAUCAAGGUUGACAUGAUUUUCUUGCACUCUAAACUGUUAAAGAUAAUUGUGUAAUAUUUUGACAGGCGUAUCAUGCUGUGGCGUGGCACUUUAUUGUCAUAGGGUUCAAUAAGCGUUGAUUGGUGACGUCACAACUGCAUCAAAAAAAAAAUUAGAGAAUGUGACGUAGGGGCAGCUAAAUGUAUCCAGAUAACUGUAUUUAAAAGGCAAAAACUUAAAGAAUUGUUUGUGAUUUAUUAGAGAAAAAAAAGUACACUAUAAAUCAGGUAUACUGAUUUUACAGCUGUUACUUUUUAUUUACUGAAAACAACAAGCCGCAACCAAGGCUUAUAAAAAAAAGUUUGUUUCCUGUAACAUUCCCAAAAAAUCAAGGGUCAGUAGGUCAGAAAUUUUUUUUGCUUAUGAAUGGUGAAACAUCCUCGGAAUGAAAAUAAAUACCAGGUGUUAUAUAUACAGUGGACACCCAACAUAGCAUCCAACAGGGCUGCCAAGCGCAGAAAACAAACUUCAGAAAGUUGUACGGGGAAACUGUUGUUAGAAUAAUGAUUAUUCUUUAUUUUUUAAGGUAAAUGUAAACUAGGUUGACAUAUUUUAUGUCUCAAAUUAAGCUACAAGCUAUUUUUUAAAAUUUAAUUAAUGGAAUCAGCUGAUUACGUAAUCAAACAAAGUUUUGCCAUUUGUCAGAAAAAGAAAAUCCACCCGGGGAUAAUUUGAAUGGGUUUAUCAGGUUGCAGGAAACAAACAAAUAUUUUUUUAGGCCUUAUGUAAGCCACGAUUUCCUCUGAUUUUCUUAACAACAUCAAAGAAUGCAAAUAUAAGUACAUGUAAUAAAAACGAUUAUAUAUGCCAGCAGAGCUAUUGCUAUUCAUAAUGCCACGUUCACUGAAUAACGUUUAUUUCUUAAAUGGAGGCGUCAUAUUUUACACUUGAUCAAUUUUUUAAAAUUGGCUCAUAGUAAUUUAAAUGAUUCACAUCUGCUCAUUAAAGGCCUUACACAAUUGAAGUUCCAUAUAUACGAGAGUUGUCCCAAAAAGUCGUAGACAAUGUUUAUAAUUUUUUAAACAUGCAACCAUUACCAUGAUUAUAUUUUAACCUCAACAGGACUCAAAAUCAGUUCGCUAUAUCCGUAAAUUUGUUAUAUCAGAGUUCGUUAUACCAGUCAGGGGUGUGAUUGAAAUCCAUCAUUUUUAAAAAUGAUGAUUUUCAGUCAUUAAAUUGAUUUUUAAUAAUGAUGGAAAUUCAUCUUUUUUUUAGUAAAAUGAUGAAAAACAGUCAUUUCUAUUUUGAAAUUUAUUUUAGAAAUAGAGUUAUCUCUGAUUUUAAAAAUGACUGUUUUUCAUCAUUUUUUAUCAAAUUGUUAGGUCUGGGCGCACUUAAUUAUCUAAUUAGUUUUACGGGGCGCACUAAAUUAUUUUGGUUUCAAUUACUUGUCAAGAUGAUUCUCUACACAAGGGUCUAUGGCAGGAUAGUGUACUAUAUCUAAUUACUGGAGUAAAUGGGAUGGGAAAAUUGACUUGAGAAUGGAAAUAUGAUGAAAAGACGUCAUAUUUACAAAAAUCAGAAAAUUGUGUACAUUAUAUACUUAGAAGAAAUGACCAUUAUCCAUCAUUUUCAAAAAUGACUGAUUUCAGUACCACCCCUGUGUUAUAACCAUAAAAUUUUACAAAGAUUUGUUGAGAAUUUUGUUUGCCAGGGACCAAGAAAAAACUUUGCUAUAUCCAUGAGUUUGCUAAUAUAUCCGUGUUCAUACUAAACGAGUUUUACUGUUAGUAUAAAAUAAAUUUAAUUAAUGAGAAUUCUCAAUCAUUUUACUAUUCAAAAGAUGAGAAUUAAAGACUGAAUUUUUAUUUUUUUCAUUUUAUAUAUACAGUACACAUAUACUCACUAAUUGGGGGCUCGAUCAUGUAAUGAAUUAGAGGAUAGGAGCAUUACAUGGAGACUUGUUAAGUGGGCCACAAUGACUCCGGUGGCUCCGGAGGAUACCCCUGCCUUUGAGCAGAUAAUACAAUUAAUGGAUACUUGAACUGACACCUUAUACAGUAUAUUUCUAUUGAAUAAAAUUGUGUUCAUAUCUAGAUUACAAUAUUAUCAAUAAAAUGUUACAUAGGAAAGGGAUAUUCAACAUUAUUUCUUCUAUGAGGCCUGGAAAUUAGAAACACCUACUGGGAAAUUCUGUUACCUGGCAAUUUUAGGAAAAUAAACUAAUUCUAAAAAAAUUUGAACUUCAAUUUAACUACAACUUCGAGGAAAGAUCUAUUUUGACUAAUAUUUUGUCAUCAGGAAGACUUGAUGUUUUUAAAAUCUUUUUUGUUCAUUUGCUUUAAGCCAACACCAUUCUUGUUUUAUGCAAAAGCACGAUUUUGUUUUAAUGCAUUUGAAAAUUGAACACACUGUUGAUAGUCACUGUAUAAAUUCUUUCAAUCAAUUAUACUUUGUGUCUAAACCCGGUUGUCUAGAAGCAAUUCUAGCAAAUGGAUGGGUUUUAUACUUAUCAAUAUUUUGGUUUCAAAUUCCAAAUUGAAUUACUGUAAUUAAAUGUUUAUGUGUAACUUAUUUGAAUUGCAAGAAUGAAAAAAAAAUUCCAGGCAGCUGUUAAAAAAAACUACUUUUUUUUUAAAUCUGACAACUCAAAUAAAUACUCGGUAAAUAUACAUUGAUUUAAACAUUACUUAGAAAUAGAUCAUUCUAUUGUGUUAAAAUAUGGAAUUUUCCUUAUCUAUUCAAGAUGCUGAAUAUGCUAGCUAACAUCUUAAAUUUUAGAAAAAUAAAUUUUCAUUUUAAAGAACUUCAGUGACCCUCUUCCCCUCCAAAGGUGUCAGUUUAAUAUAUCUCGCAAAUUGGGGGA